AUACGUAGGGAGCGAGCGUUGUCCGGAAUUACUGGGCGUAAAGGGCGCGUAGGCGGCGCUUCAAGUCGUCUGUCAAAUGGAAGGGCUUAACCCUUUUUCGCAGACGAAACUGGAGAGCUUGAGAAGCAGAGAGGCAAACAGAAUUCCUGGUGUAGCGGUGAAAUGCGUAGAUAUCAGGAAGAAUACCAGUGGCGAAGGCGGUUUGCUGGCUGCAUACUGACGCUGAAGCGCGAAAGCCAGGGGAGCGAACGGGAUUAGAUACCCCGGUAGUCCUGGCAGUAAACGAUGUAUGCUGGGUGUGAGACUAGCGAUAGUUUCGUGCCGAAGUUAACGCGAUAAGCAUACCGCCUGGGGAGUACGGUCGCAAGAUUGAAACUCAAAUGAAUCGGCGGGG
rnacentral:rRNA from 1 species